GGCGGCAGGCCUAACACAUGCAAGUCGAGCGGUAGCGAGAAGCUUGCUUCUCUUGAGAGCGGCGGACGGGUGAGUAAUACCUAGGAAUCUGCCUGAUAGUGGGGGAUAACGUUCGGAAACGGACGCUAAUACCGCAUACGUCCUACGGGAGAAAGCAGGGGACCUUCGGGCCUUGCGCUAUCAGAUGAGCCUAGGUCGGAUUAGCUAGUUGGUGAGGUAAUGGCUCACCAAGGCUACGAUCCGUAACUGGUCUGAGAGGAUGAUCAGUCACACUGGAACUGAGACACGGUCCAGACUCCUACGGGAGGCAGCAGUGGGGAAUAUUGGACAAUGGGCGAAAGCCUGAUCCAGCCAUGCCGCGUGUGUGAAGAAGGUCUUCGGAUUGUAAAGCACUUUAAGUUGGGAGGAAGGGCAGUUACCUAAUACGUGAUUGUCUUGACGUUACCGACAGAAUAAGCACCGGCUAACUCCGUGCCAGCAGCCGCGGUAAUACAGAGGGUGCAAGCGUUAAUCGGAAUUACUGGGCGUAAAGCGCGCGUAGGUGGUUUGUUAAGUUGGAUGUGAAAUCCCCGGGCUCAACCUGGGAACUGCAUCCAAAACUGGCAAGCUAGAGUAUGGUAGAGGGUAGUGGAAUUUCCUGUGUAGCGGUGAAAUGCGUAGAUAUAGGAAGGAACACCAGUGGCGAAGGCGACUACCCGGACUGAUACUGACACUGAGGCGCGAAAGCGUGGGGAGCAAACAGGAUUAGAUACCCUGGUAGUCC
rnacentral:rRNA from 1 species